rnacentral:tRNA from 4 species
GCGGAUGUGGCUCAGCUGGUAGAGCAUCACCUUGCCAAGGUGAGGGUCGCGGGUUCGAAUCCCGUCAUCCGCUCGA